CUCAUUUAAAAGCGAUGACGAGGAGUCGGUUGUAUUUUCCGAAGAUAAUAUUGCAACAACAUCUCAAAAAAAAGGUACAUCGAAAAGGUUAGCUGUAAAACCGGAGAAGAAACCGGUAUCGAAAAAGACGAAAAAGACAAAAUAUUAGAUUUAAUAACAGAUCCAACUAUACCAACCGAUGCAGAGAACACCUUGAAUAUAAAAAAGGAUGAUUGUUCAUUAACGGUUAAGACACCUGUAGACAAUACGGCUGUAGAUUACUGGACUAUAGCACAUUGUAAAUGUGCUAAAAUUGCUAA